rnacentral:lncRNA from 1 species
UCUCUCUCUCUCUCUCUCUCUCUCUCUCCUCUGUUUUGUGGUUUUAAUUGCUGAAUUUUGGCGGGAGAGGAUUUAAAGAAGGCGGGUAACAGUUGCCGUUUCGGGAAAGUAGCCGUUACCUCCCGUUACGAUUCGCGGGCGUUUCGGAUGGGGGUUGCGCGGGAGUUUGUAACGGGCGCCGAGUGUAACGGAGGGCUCAUUAAUAUUAAUUUAACGGAUCCAACAGAAAAAAAAGAAUUAAAUAUAGUUUUUUUUUUCUUUAAUGGAGCUUCUUAAUGCGCUCAUUAAGGAUUAAAAUAACUUAUGAGGAGGCUUAUGUACCAGUAUUGAUAAAGCAACUCAUGAAUUAUAUUCUCUAUCAUUAAAUGUAAAUAAAAUGGGCAAUUGCUUAUAUACUUCUUUUCCGGCUUUCUAAUUUAUCAACAAUCUUAGAAGGUUAAUAUUAAAAAUAAAAAUACCUAUUUUACAUUCCAAAUUAUUUCCAAUAUGCUUCUAUUGUUAAAUUUUGUUAGUGAACUAUUAGCAAUAGCAGUUAUAUUUGUAAAAUUAUUAUUUUGCCCUUUCAAAUAUACUCUUUUAUCAUCAUAAAUUUUUCUUAUUUGUUCUUUAGUUAGGAACAAAAAGGAUAUUUUGAUUUUUAGUUUUUUUAAACAUACCCCUCUACCAUUACUAUUUUUUUAUUUUCCCUUAAGCUGAGGAUAAAAGAGGUGUUUUGAUUUUUUUUUUUAACUCUCGUAGACAUUUAACUCACAUUUAGACUAAGUGUAAUUGUAGGGGUAUUUUUGAAUAACGGGAGAGCAUAUGAGGGGUAUAUUGAAAAAAAAAGAAAAGAAAAAAAGAUAUUUUUAAAGUUUUGAAAGGUAUAUAAAUAAUUGUCCUAAAUAAAAUACUCGACUCAAAACAAUAGCUGAGGGAGCAAAACC